rnacentral:rRNA from 1 species
AUUGAACGCUGGCGGCAUGCUUUACACAUGCAAGUCGAACGGUAACAGGUUAAGCUGACGAGUGGCGAAUGGGUGAGUAAUGCAUCGGAACGUGCCCGAUCGUGGGGGAUAACGCAGCGAAAGCUGCGCUAAUACCGCAUACGAUCUGAGGAUGAAAGCGGGGGACCGUAAGGCCUCGCGCGAUCGGAGCGGCCGAUGUCAGAUUAGGUAGUUGGUGGGGUAAAGGCUCACCAAGCCGACGAUCUGUAGCUGGUCUGAGAGGACGACCAGCCAGACUGGGACUGAGACACGGCCAGACUCCUACGGGAGGCAGCAGUGGGGAAUUUUGGACAAUGGGCGCAAGCCUGAUCCAGCAAUGCCGCGUGCAGGAAGAAGGCCUUCGGGUUGUAAACCGCUGUCGUAGGGGAGGAAGGCUCUGUGAAGAACAGGGUUUGACCUAUCCUAGGAGGAAGUACGGGCUAAGUUCGUGCCAGCCGCCGCCGUAAGAC